rnacentral:rRNA from 1 species
UACGUAGGGUGCGAGCGUUGUCCGGAAUUACUGGGCGUAAAGAGCUCGUAGGUGGUUUGUCGCGUUGUUCGUGAAAUGCCACAGCUUAACUGUGGGCGUGCGGGCGAUACGGGCAGACUGGAGUACUGCAGGGGAGACUGGAAUUCCUGGUGUAGCGGUGGAAUGCGCAGAUAUCAGGAGGAACACCGGUGGCGAAGGCGGGUCUCUGGGCAGUAACUGACGCUGGGGAGCGAAAGCGUGGGGAGCGAACAGG